rnacentral:lncRNA from 1 species
UGUGUUUAUAUUAUUAAAAUUUAUAUUUUUAUAAUGUGAUAAUUGAUUAUUAACUUUUCGUGCCUAGUUGAUCCUGUAAGUCUUAUUAAACGUAUUUUAUGUAUAGUAAAUUAGCAAUCCUGCUAAAAGUUUUCUUAUGUGUUUACUACAAGUCAAGGCGGAUUUUCUUAUGUGUUAUGUGUUUACUGCAAGUCAAGGCAGCUCUUUUCAUGUAUUAAGCCAUAUUAGUGGCUAUUCUUGGUAUUGAAAACAGGUGGAUAGUCCUAUAAACAGAGGAGGUGCUGCCGAAAUUUUGUUAGAAAUUAUAUGCAUUUAGACUAUUUAAAGGUGUUUGAUAGAUAAUAAGUAGAGACAAUAAUAUUGGUAUACAUGUCUACGUGAUACGUGAUCACUAGUAAUCUUUAAUAAUUAUAAAAGUAUUUCUUGGUUGACUAAGUUCUAUGUGUUUGGCUGAAAUUUAUGUUUAUAUAAACGAAGGGUAGUGAUUAAGUGAUAUUGAGGAUAUGACUUUGGAUUCAAAUAGUUAAGACCCAGUCUUCUAUCCUGUAGGUUCCGGUUAGAGAGCCUAACAGUAUAGUGCAGUCUUAUCUCUAGCAUUCUAUUAUCAAGGCAAGUAUUUCUACCCUACUUCUCUAGUACCUAUAGAUACUAAAACCUUCUUUAUAUCAUGAUUCAAAUUAUUUGCAAUUACUCUCUUGUGAAGCAUAUCUAGUAUUUCCAAACUUUUUGGUUGAACGGAUAACACUUUUGGUAUCGACUCUACACUAUUAUAUGCAUAAAGAAAUUGUUUUAACAAAAUGUUAUUUUGGCUCUUGAAUUACAUGAUGGAACUGCAGAUUGUUCUAAAAAUUAAACUAUUGGGUUGUUUUUGCGUAAGAGGCUCGGGCACCGGCCCAGCGUGAAAGGUGGCUCCUUAAGCCCGGAUUACCGGAAUUCGUAAUAUUUGUCAACCUUGCUGAAUAAGCUUGGUUUAUGGACUAUAGCAUGACUGAUCAUCUGUUAUAGCCAGGUGUCCAAUGAUUUUUAAAGCCCAAUAAAAUUGUGAAUAGUUAAAGAGAGGUUAUCCUGCCUUCAAGAGAUAUUUGCUUAUACAUUCAUUUCUGCAGUUUUAAAUAUUUUCACUUCUUUAUUAUGGCAUUGCUGUACAACAAAUAUCAAUUUCAUUCUGUUAUACUUGCUGAGCAUUUCUUUGGCUCAUACCUGUUUAUUUUCAAACUAACCCCUUUCAGAUGCCAAGGAUUAGAGCAGCUGCUUAUAAGGUUUCCCAGAGUUAUCUUUUGUGCUAGGAAAAUCGCAGGAUGAUGCUAGGAGUCUUGGACUAAGUGUGGAUUAGUUAGUACGACUUGUUUCUUUGAAGUUGUAUUAUAGUGUCAGUAUGGUUGUAGUGGAAAACUCAUGUAGUAAGGAACCUAUGUCGUCGUUCGUUUGCAGUAACAGUUUAAACCUUUCGCAGACUUAAACCUGGCAAGAUCUUUGGUCAGGGGUGUAAUGGUAAAUAUUUAUUAUGUUAAUCUAUUCAGCUGUCAUUAGUUUAUUUUAUUGUUUAGUUUAUUCUUUUUAGUGACACCGAAUCUGCACCCCGGAUUCUGGGCUGUCACAGUUGGUAUCAGAGCGACAGGUUUAAGUCACUGUGUUAGGUUAGGUUAGGUAGAGAGUCUACCCUUAUUAGUGAUAUUUGGACUAGGUGAUUGAGUCAGCAACUCAUGUUGAGUUGAAAGUUAAGAUUACAGAAUGUAGUUUUAAUAAAUAUUGGUUAGGAUAUAGUGUUAUAGCUUAGAGUCAUUGUUUAGUUCUGAACUACGUGCUUGAGUUAGGAUCUAAUAUAGACUGUUGCAGAAAGGACCAGGACUAUUAGAACUAUCCACAUUAAUACAACCAGGGUCAGCAUGUAUCAGAGUCUUGUGUAUUGGUUAGUGCAUGAUAGGCUAUAUAAGAUCUUAAUUAUUGCUAAGGAUUGUACUAGUAUGCUAUCCGUAUUAUGAUAUGUUGCUAUUUGUUGAGAAAUUGUGGUUACUUGAUCUGUAGUUGGCAUAUUGUGAAGAUCUAUUUUGGAUGACAUUUUAUGAAUUUUUGGACUAGCAAACAAUGUGUGAUAGUGAAUUUGCACUUUUCAAAGGACUACAUAUUUAUAUAUUUUAUCUCAAAAAUAAAUGAAGCAGAUUGCUAAAACAGAUUGUUUGUGGUAACAGAAAAUGUCAUCUGAAAGAUCACCACCGAGCAAUCCUGGAAAUCAGGGUACUUCAAACCAACCAACUAUGGAUCAGAUACUACAGUUGCUACAGCAACAAGCGACAAAUAUGGUUCAGCAGCAACAACAAUAUAUGCAGCAAAAUCAACAGCCGCAUCAAAAUCGUCAAGUAGAGGCACCGAUGUCGACGUUUAAGUCAUUUCAAGCAAUUAAGCCCCCAGACUUUGAUGGAUCAAAAGGACCUAUUGAAGCAAGGUCUUGGUUGAAGGAAAUUGAGAAAGCUUUCAAAUUAGCAAAAGUAAGUGAGGAUCAGAAGACUGAUUAUGCUAGUUACUUUCUGAAAAAUGAAGCUAAUUAUUGGUGGGAAUCGGUAAGAGCUCUAGAAGGAGAUGAUGUGAUCUUGUGGGAUAGGUUUGUUGAACUGUUCUUAGAGCAAUAUUUUCCGGAGCAUGUACAAAGCCAACUAGAGUUGGACUUCUUGGAGUUAAAACAAGGAGAUAAGAGUGUAGCGGAGUAUGAGAAGAAGUUUAUGGAGUUGGCAAGGUUUGUCACAGCCUACGUGGAUACUGAUUUGAAGAAAGCUAAAAGAUUCCAACAAGGGCUAAGAUCGGAUAUUAGAAUUAGUGUGGCAGCUUUAAGAUUGAAGACUUAUGCUGAUGUGGUUCAAACAGCAAUGGUGAUAGAAAGAGAGCACACUUUAGAUAAAAAGGAGCAAGAGAGUAAGAAAAGGAAGGUGGAAGCAAUUGAAGGAAGUCAAGGCCAAGGAAGUUCUCAACAAGGAUUCCAGAAGAGGCAGAAUUUCCAACAAAAUAGGAAUCAAGCAUUUAAGAACCCGGGGCAGAAUGUUAAUAGGCAGUUUAAUAGGCCCCCGAAUCAGAAUCAACAAGGUGUAGUGAAACCUCCAACACCAGACUGCAAGAAUUGUGGGAAGAAGCACUCAGGAAUGUGUGGAAAAUUGAACAUAGUAUGUUUUAAAUGUAAUAAGAGGGGUCAUUACGCUAAUGAGUGUAGAAGUCAAGGGGCAAUGAGGUGUGACAAUUGUGGGAAAACUGGGCAUUAUACCUAUAAUUGCAAGAACCCGGCACUGGCAAGCGCAAUGGUACGUGUGCAAGGAUCAACAUCAGGGAAGAGGCCUAAUGCCAGGACUUUUAACAUGACAAAGAAGACUUCGUCUAAGGAUACAGAUGUGGUAGCAGGUACGCUUUCUGUUAAUUCCGUAGCUGCUAAAGUUUUAAUGGACUCAGGAGCAUCGAAAUCUUUUAUAUCCGUGGAGUUAGUUGAUAAAUUAAAUUGUAAGAUAAAUGAUUUAGAGGAGGCGUUGAUAAUAGAAAUUGCAAAUCGUGAUAGAAUACCAGUUAAUCAAGUCUGCCCUCAAUGUAAGAUUGAGGUAUCAGGAAAUUGUUUCAUGGCUGAUUUAAUACCCUUUAGGUUAGGAGAGUUUGAUGUCAUACUAGGAAUGGACUGGUUAUCUCAAUAUAAAGCUAAGAUAGAUUGUAAGGGUAAGAAGGUAGUAUUGUUCACUCCAGAGGGAAGUAAGGUAAUUUUUAAAGGACAAAGGCAAGAAAAGAAGUUUUUAACGGUCAUGCAAGCGAAGAAACUAUUGAGACAAGGAUGUGAGGCGUAUUUGGCUCAUGUAGUAGACACUAAGAAGAAGGCACCUAAUCUGGAGGAGGUUCCGGUAGCAAAUGAGUUUCCUGAAGUGUUUCCAGAUGAGUUGCCAGGAUUACCACCAGCUCGCGAGAUAGAAUUUUCUAUUGAGUUAGUGCCAGGAGCUGAGCCAGUAUCGAAAGCUCCGUAUCGAAUGGCUCCGGUGGAAAUGAAGGAGUUAGCGAAGCAGUUACAAGAAUUAUUGGAUAAGGGAGUGAUUAGACCAAGUGUUUCACCUUGGGGAGCUCCAGUGUUGUUCGUUAAGAAAAAGGAUGGGAGUAUGAGAUUAUGUAUAGAUUAUCGAGAGUUGAACAAGUUAACUAUUAAGAAUAAGUACCCAUUGCCAAGGAUCGAUGAUUUAUUCGAUCAACUUAAAGGAGCAGUUUGUUUCUCGAAGAUUGACCUAAGGUCUGGUUACCACCAGUUGAAGAUUAAGCCUGAAGAUAUUCCGAAGACUGCAUUUAGAACCAGAUACGGGCACUAUGAGUUUUUGGUGAUGUCGUUUGGUUUGACUAACGCGCCAGCAGCAUUUAUGGAUUUAAUGAAUCGAGUGUUUAAGGAGUAUUUGGAUAAAUUUGUGAUUGUGUUUAUUGACGAUAUUUUGAUAUAUUCGAAGUCAAAGGAAGAACACGGAGAACAUUUAAGGAUUACUUUGCAAAGGCUAAAGGAGAAGCAAUUGUACGCUAAGUUUUCAAAAUGUGAAUUUUGGCUGGAAGAGGUUCAAUUUUUGGGUCACGUAGUUGGUAAGGAAGGUAUUAAGGUGGAUCCAGCAAAGAUUGAAGCUGUGAUGAAUUGGGAACAACCAAAGACACCGACUGAAGUAAGAAGUUUCCUAGGAUUAGCAGGAUAUUAUAGGAGGUUUGUAAAAGAUUUUGCGAAGAUUGCAACACCAUUAACCAAGUUAACUAGGAAGACUGAGAAAUUUGUUUGGAGGGAUGAAUGCGAAAGGAGUUUUCAGGAAUUGAAAGAAAGAUUAGUAACUGCUCCAGUGCUAGCAUUGCCGGAUGAAAAAGGAAAUUUUGUGAUUUAUAGUGAUGCUUCUUUGAAGGGUUUAGGUUGUGUAUUAAUGCAGCAUGAUAGAGUUAUUGCCUACGCGUCUAGACAACUGAAACCACACGAGCAAAAGUAUCCGACCCAUGAUCUAGAAUUAGCAGCAAUUGUAUUUGCAUUGAAACUAUGGAGACAUUACUUGUAUGGAGAAAAGUGUGAGAUUUUUACGGAUCACAAGAGCUUGAAGUACAUAUUUACUCAAAAGGAGCUAAAUAUGAGGCAACGAAGAUGGUUGGAAUUAAUUAAGGAUUAUGAUUGUUCUAUUAAUUAUCAUCCUGGAAAGGCGAAUGUAGUUGCAGAUGCGCUAAGUAGGAAGGAAAGAUUAAAUAUGAUUGACAUUGCGAAGGAAUUGUCUGAGGAAUUGGAAAAAUUGGAGAUUGAAGUAUGUGUACCAGGAGUAGUUCAAGAAAGAUUAUAUGAAAUUACUUUUCAGCCAGAGUUACUGGAAAGAAUCAAAAGAUGUCAAGAAGAGGUAAUGAAUCAAGAUGGUCAAUUAACAAAAGAAGAGAUUUGUACUGAAAAAGGUAAUGACGGGGUGUAUAGAUUUUCUUCACGGAUAUGGAUUCCUAACGUGACUGAGUUGAAAAAUGAGAUCUUACGAGAAGCUCAUAGUUCGAGAUUUUCUAUCCACCCAGGGAGUACCAAGAUGUACCAGGAUUUAAAGAGAAAUUUUUGGUGGCCAGGGAUGAAAAGUGAAAUAGCUGAUUGGGUGAGUAAGUGUCAUACUUGUCAAAGAGUGAAAGCGGAGCAUCAAAGACCAAGUGGAUUACUACAACCCCUAGAGAUUCCAAAGUGGAAGUGGGAGGAUAUUGCUAUGGAUUUUGUAGUUGGAUUACCAAGGACCAAAACAAACCACGAUGCCAUAUGGAUUAUUAUUGAUAGAUUAACGAAGUCGGCGCAUUUUCUCCCAAUUAAUGAAAAGUACCCGUUAAAUAAGUUGGUUAAGUUGUAUUUGGAUGAAAUCGUAGCUAGACAUGGAGUUCCAGUUUCGAUUGUAUCCGACAGAGACCCGAGGUUUAACUCCAGAUUUUGGACCAAAUUUCAAGAAUGUUUAGGAACACAGUUAAAGAUGAGCACUGCGUACCACCCUCAGACGGAUGGACAAAGUGAGAGGACAAUUCAAACAAUAGAAGAUAUGCUCAGGGUGUGCGCAUUGGAUUUCAAAGGAAAUUGGGAUGAUCAUUUACCAUUGAUUGAGUUUUCGUAUAACAAUAGCUAUCAUGCCAGUAUUGGAAUGCCACCUUAUGAAGCUUUGUAUGGAAGGAAGUGUCGAUCUCCAGUUUGUUGGGAAGAAGUAGGAGAACGGAAGAUAUUAGGGUCAGAAUUGGUGCAACAAACCAAGGAUGUGAUUCAACUUAUUCAAAAGAGAUUGGUGACUGCUCAAGAUAGACAAAGAAAGUAUGCGGACUUGCAUCGAAAGAAUAUUGAAUUUGAAGUUGGAAGUUUAGUUUUGUUGAAAGUAUCACCAUGGAAAGGAUUAGUCAGAUUUGGCCAAAAAGGAAAGCUUAGUCCACGAUUUAUCGGUCCUUAUGAAGUCUUAAAGAAAGUAGGGAACGUUGCUUACGAAAUAGCACUACCGCCCCACAUGCAACAUAUCCACAACGUCUUCCAUGUAUCAAUGCUGAAGAAGUACAUUCCAGAUUCUAAUCAAGUUAUAGAAUAUGAGCAAGUAGAAAUUCAGCCAGAUCUCUCAUAUGUAGAGCAACCGAUAGAGAUCCUAGAUAGAAAAGAGAAAGUUCUUAGAAAUAGAUCUGUACCUAUUGUCAAAGUGUUAUGGAGGAAUCCUAGAGUAGAGGAAACUACUUGGGAACUAGAAAGCGAUAUGUUAGCCAAAUAUCCUCACUUAUUUGCUUAGACCAGAUUCUGAGGACAGAAUCUUCUUAAGGGGGGGAGUCUAUAACGACUGUGAAUUUUAUUUAUAAUUUAAAUAAAAAAAAAAAAAAUCAUAUUAUAUAAAAAUUACGUAUUAUGUGGUUAAGUGUUGAUUUAAUAUUUGCUCUUGUGUGAACUAUUAAUUGUUGUAUCGAGUUAGUGUUUUAAAAAUGAUUUAUUUACUUUUCAAAUUUCGACGAAUAAGAAAUAUCUCCAAUUUGAAUUUAUAAGAAAUACAAAACCAUUCUUAAAAAUCAUUUUUAUCGUUUCAUAAUUAGAAUAAUUAUUUUUAGGAAUUUACAAAAUUGUCAAAAUAUUAUUUUGAUAAAAAUCUGAUUUUAAAAUAUUUUCCAAGUCCAUUUAACUUCUAAAUCGCUUAUAAAUUUCAAUAAUGCUCCAUAAAUCCUGAGACUUUUAUUUUAUUCGUUUUAUAAUAUUCCGGGAUUUAUAAAAAUAUUUCAGUAACUUUUCGAAGAUAUUUUGUUACAAGUUAUUCCGAUAAUCGAUUAAAAGCAGGCUUAGAUUAGUGAUUAUUCAGCAUAAACGAGACACGUGGCAAGCCAGAGCUGCAGCACGUGCCCUGUACCACCGCCAUUCUUUUCUUUUAAUUCCAGUUCUCCCCUUUCCCUUUUAUUUCCACGUUAAUCUCUCCUCACCCCCUCUGCUAAUCUCUCACACUCUCUCCCGUACAUAUCUCCUCCAUUCCUCUUCCACCUUUGUUCCCCGUUCUUUUCUUUUCCCCCGAAACCCGCCGCCGCCGCUGUUCAAACUCCGGCCAGUCGCCGGCACCACCACUGUGUUGUUUCUUCUGAUUAAUUCACCCGCGAUUCUUCGAGUUCCUAGGCAAUCCAGACGCAGGCUUGCUGUUUUCGGACGAAUCCAGCCCUGUUCUUCAGCCUCCAGUGUUGUGUUAGCGCGGUAUAACCCAGUCUCGUGUAUAUAAUUCGAUUAUUAUGAUUUUGGUUAUUUGGGUCGGAUUGAGUUGUUGAUUGGAUGCUUAAAUUCGGAUUAAUGUUAGUUAAUUUCUACUAAUAUUAAUACUUAAAAUCAGGAUUGUGUCUAUAAUUAGCCGGUUGUUAUAUGUGUGUAUUAUACGUGCUUGUUAAAUGUGAAUUUGUAUAUGAGACUCGGAUAUAAUUUUGUGUUGGUAGUAACUAUCGGGACCACUAAGUUAUUUUAAUUUAAUUGUUGAUUGAUGUUUGAUUUGGAUUGUUGGGUUUACAAGUUAGUAAUUAUCUUUCGAGGAUUAGAAGUAAAAUUUUGAUGAUACAUCUAUGUAUGCCUCGACUUUUCGGGUAUAUGUGUUUAUAUUAUUAAAAUUUAUAUUUUUAUAAUGUGAUAAUUGAUUAUUAACUUUUCGUGCCUAGUUGAUCCUGUAAGUCUUAUUAAACGUAUUUUAUGUAUAGUAAAUUAGCAAUCCUGCUAAAAGUUUUCUUAUGUGUUUACAAGAAGAUAGUAAAUUAGCAAUCCUGCAAGGCGGAUUUUCUUAUGUGUUAUGUGUUUACUGCAAGUCAAGGCAGAUUUUCUAAUAUAUUAAGCCAUAUUAGUGGCUAUUCUUGGUAUUGAAAACAGGUGGAUAGUCCUAUAAACAGAGGAGGUGCUGCCGAAAUUUUGUUAGAAAUUAUAUGCAUUUAGACUAUUUAAAGGUGUUUGAUAGAUAAUAAGUAGAGACAAUAAUAUUGGUAUACAUGUCUACGUGAUACGUGAUCACUAGUAAUCUUUAAUAAUUAUAAAAGUAUUUCUUGGUUGACUAAGUUCUAUGUGUUUGGCUGAAAUUUAUGUUUAUAUAAACGAAGGGUAGUGAUUAAGUGAUAUUGAGGAUAUGACUUUGGAUUCAAAUAGUUAAGACCCAGUCUUCUAUCCUGUAGGUUCCGGUUAGAGAGCCUAACAGUAUAGUGCAGUCUUAUCUCUAGCAUUCUAUUAUCAAGGCAAGUAUUUCUAUCCUACUUCUCUAGUACCUAUAGAUACUAAAACCUUCUUUAUAUCAUGAUUCAAAUUAUUUGCAAUUACUCUCUUGUGAAGCAUAUCUAGUAUUUCCAAACUUUUUGGUUGAACGGAUAACACUUUUGGUAUCGACUCUACACUAUUAUAUGCAUAAAGAAAUUGUUUUAACAAAAUGUUAUUUUGGCUCUUGAAUUACAUGAUGGAACUGCAGAUUGUUCUAAAAAUUAAACUAUUGGGUUGUUUUUGCGUAAGAGGCUCGGGCACCGGCCCAGCGUGAAAGGUGGCUCCUUAAGCCCGGAUUACCGGAAUUCGUAAUAUUUGUCAACCUUGCUGAAUAAGCUUGGUUUAUGGACUAUAGCAUGACUGAUCAUCUGUUAUAGCCAGGUGUCCAAUGAUUUUUAAAGCCCAAUAAAAUUGUGAAUAGUUAAAGAGAGGUUAUCCUGCCUUCAAGAGAUAUUUGCUUAUACAUUCAUUUCUGCAGUUUUAAAUAUUUUCACUUCUUUAUUAUGGCAUUGCUGUACAACAAAUAUCAAUUUCAUUCUGUUAUACUUGCUGAGCAUUUCUUUGGCUCAUACCUGUUUAUUUUCAAACUAACCCCUUUCAGAUGCCAAGGAUUAGAGCAGCUGCUUAUAAGGUUUCCCAGAGUUAUCUUUUGUGCUAGGAAAAUCGCAGGAUGAUGCUAGGAGUCUUGGACUAAGUGUGGAUUAGUUAGUACGACUUGUUUCUUUGAAGUUGUAUUAUAGUGUCAGUAUGGUUGUAGUGGAAAACUCAUGUGGUAAGGAACCUAUGUCGUCGUUCGUUUGCAGUAACAGUUUAAACCUUUCGCAGACUUAAACCUGGGAAGAUCUUUGGUCAGGGGUGUAAUGGUAA